rnacentral:rRNA from 1 species
UACGGAGGAUGCAAGCGUUAUCCGGAAUGAUUGGGCGUAAAGCGUCCGCAGGUGGCUGUGUAAGUCUGCUGUUAAAGAGUCAUGCUCAACAUGAUAAGAGCAGUGGAAACUACACGGCUAGAGUGCGUUCGGGGCAGAGGGAAUUCCUGGUGUAGCGGUGAAAUGCGUAGAGAUCAGGAAGAACACCAAUGGCGAAAGCAGCUCUCUGGGACGGUACUGACGCUGAGACGCGAAAGCGUGGGGAGCGAACAGG